GUACAACGGAGGCGCAAGGGCUGUCGCUGACCUUCAAAGGUCGUGCACGCCCGAGCCCCUCUCACAAUCCAUCUCACCCUUUGUGCAUCACCGCGUGGGUCCCCUUUGCGGGAGGGCUCACGUUUUCACAUAAAACUCGAUACAGUGUAGAAUGUUUUAUUUUGCGGUCACACGCGAUCAAUACAACUUUCAACAACGGAUCUCUUGGCUCU
rnacentral:misc_RNA from 1 species